rnacentral:rRNA from 1 species
CUACGGGCGGCACCAGUGAGGAAUACUGCACAAUGGGGGGAACCCUGAUGCAGCAACGCCGCGUGGAGGAUGACGCAUUUCGGUGUGUAAACUCCUUUUAUAUGUCAAGAAAAUGACGGUAGCAUAUGAAUAAGCACCGGCUAACUCCGUGCCAGCAGCCGCGGUAAUAUGGAGGGUGCAAGCGUUACUCGGAAUCACUGGGCGUAAAGGACGCGUAGGCGGGUUGGAAAGUCAGGUGUGAAAUCCUACAGCUUAACUGUAGAACUGCACUUGAAACUUCUAAUCUAGAGUAUGGGAGGGGGAGAUGGAAUUAGUGGUGUAGGGGUAAAAUCCGUAGAUAUCACUAGGAAUACCUAAAGCGAAGGCGAUCUCCUGGAACAUUACUGACGCUAAGGCGUGAAAGCGUGGGGAGCAAACAGGAUUAGAUACCCUGGUAGUC